ACAGAGGAUAAUAAUGAGAAGGAAGUUACUCCAUGCACUCAGAAAAGCAAUAGAGUUUGCUUCUGUAAACCAGGUUUUUAUUGUACUAGUGGAAACAAUUAUGGAACAGACUGCUAUAAACCAUGUGUUCCCUGUGGAAAAGGCACGUUCUCCAGCACACCAUCUCUGGACGCCUGCAGUCCUCAUACAGAUUGUGCUCGGUUGGGAAUGAUAAUGCUCAAAAAGGGCACAGCGACGCAGGACAGUGAGUGUGUGAAUGCCACAACAGUGAAGCCAGCCUCGUCCACUACCACAGAUAUCAUUACUACCACCACUUUCAAUAGCACUUCCAUUCCCAUGACAGGGGUCACUGCACAAUUCAAGGAAGACGAAAUCCAUUCCCACUGGCUGCUGCUAUUAAUCUUAAUGUUGAUAAUCUUGUUCAUGGCUGGAUUCUGUAUUCUGAUGAAAAACACGGCAAAGAAAACCCUUUUUAAAUGGUUUGGUUUAAUAAACAGACGACAUGAAGAUAAUCAACUCUGGAGUCAAACUGCAGCUGAUAAUAAAAUUUUGUUCAAUUCCCACACCUCGGAGACCACAAUACCAGUCGGCAGUGGUGGCAGAGAGGUCAAAGGUCAGAGUACGGGGCCGAUGCCCCAAUCUGGGGCUGUGCAGCAGGUCACAAUGGAGCACAAUGGGAAGGGUGAGAAUGUCAGCAAUACUGUUGGGUCCAUCUACAUCUACUCUCCUGGAAUGGUGAUUCUGGGCUCCAACUCGGGUGAUAAAAAGGAAGAGGCAGGACUUUGCGAAGAAGGCGUUCCCCUCAUCAGCAGACCUCAGCAAGAGUCAAAUCCACCCUCGCAAGAGGUCAGAAUCAGAAUAAGUGCACAGGAAGAGGCUGAGGAGGAACUGAGCCUGAGUUUUCCCGUGCCAGCAACUGAAAAGUGAGAACUCGAACAUGUGGUUCCUUGCAUAAACGGCCUUCAGGAAGAUACCAGGUUGAAUCACAAGGCUGAAAAGUCACAAGCUGCCAGAUUUAAGAUUCCCGGUUAAGCAUGGCAUCAGAAAUGCCCGAGUCAUGGUUUCAGUUCCAGAUAAGCAUGCACGCUGACUAAAUGUACAGGCUACCUUGAUUGCAAUGUAUGUCAAAUACAGAAUGCGCAGAUGUACCAGAUGGGAAACGCAGAGUAAUGAUUUUAGCUUUUUUGCACAUCAAGAAAAAGAUUUAUGCUUUAUUUAAGUCAGUCAGUUUUUAUAAAUGCACACGUCUGAAUUGCCACUGCAGCAAAACUGGGACAAAAACAAGCAUGAAGAAUGUGCACAGGAGGUACAGACAAAAGAGUGAGAAAAACACCCUCGAAGGUGUUUCUGAGUUUUCAUAACAUGCAUCCUAUAAGACAGAGGCAGUAUAACUGAAAUGCACAUUGUGUGUAUGAAUAGUUUUAUUGUUUAAAUGAGUGGUCGAAAACCCAACGAACGACUACAUCUAUAUGUUUCUAAACAGACUUUUGCUCUACUGUGUGGGUGUUAAAUAUGCAAGUCUGAAAAUACCCAACCUCACCUUCGGAAAGAAGUGUCUGAUUUGACUAUUGUAGGAGGUCGUGUCGGGACAGACUGCAUUCACCCUGCAACCUUUACAGAACAUGAUCAAAAUGACAUUUCUAGUGUUGCAGUAGAAGACGCUUCUUACAUCCUCCAUUCACUUGAGCUUGUGUGUGUCAUUUUGCUUGUUUUUUUUUGUAAAUUUGUCAAUGAACGUGUUCUGAUGCUUUAUUAUUAUGAAUUCAAUAAAGUCCAUUCCUUCAACA
ensembl:lncRNA